rnacentral:rRNA from 1 species
CCUACGGGGGGCAGCAGUAGGGAAUAUUACUCAAUGGGGGAAACCCUGAAGCAGCAACGCCGCGUGGAGGAUGAAGGUUUUCGGAUUGUAAACUCCUUUGUUAGAGAAGAUAAUGACGGUAUCUAACGAAUAAGCACCGGCUAACUCCGUGCCAGCAGCCGCGGUAAUACGGAGGGUGCAAGCGUUACUCGGAAUCACUGGGCGUAAAGGGCGCGUAGGCGGGAUAGCAAGUCAGAUGUGAAAUCCUAUGGCUUAACCAUAGAACUGCAUUUGAAACUGUUAUUCUAGUGUAUGGGAGAGGUAGGUGGAAUUCUUGGUGUAGGGGUAAAAUCCGUAGAGAUCAAGAGGAAUACUCAUUGCGAAGGCGACCUGCUAGAACAUAACUGACGCUGAUGCGCGAAAGCGUGGGGAGCAAACAGGAUUAGAUACCCGAGUAGUC